GGGUUUUCACUAGGCGGAGGGGCGGGCUGGAACCUCUCGGGGGACAGCCUUGUUGAAGUAUUCACCCUUGUCUUUUGCGUACUUCUUGAUUCCUUGGGGGGUUCGCCCACCGCUAGGAGGCUGCCAAACCUUUUGUAAUUAGUCUCAGCCUCAGUAACAGACUAGAAAUUACAACUUUCAACAACGGAUCUCUUGGUUCUGGCAUCGAUGAAGAACGCAGCGAAAUGCGAUAAGUAGCGCGAUGUGCAGAAUUCGAUGAAUCAUCGAACCUUAGAACGCACAUCGCACCCUUUGUCAUUCUAAGGUGCAUGCUUGUUCGAGCCCAGAUCGAACACACCCGCUGUGGAAAGUGGUGAUUAUUAUUGUCUCUAGUGACGCUGAAUGCACUUACAAAAGGAUUAGGUAUCUCCCAUAGCGGGGUCCACCCACCAAGAAAAUAGGACUCUCUAUAAGAAAAGGGUUGACAUCCUUAAAACCGUUGUUACAACAUUGAAUUCGCGCCCCCUUCGGAUUACGCCGUAAAAUCCCCCCCGAAGAUCCACGCGGAGAGAAAG
rnacentral:rRNA from 1 species